AGGACGAACGCUGGCGGCGCGCCUAAUACAUGCAAGUCGAACGGGUACCUCUUCGGAGGUGCUAGUGGCGGACGGGUGAGUAACACGUGGGCGACCUGCCUUUGAGUGGGGAAUAACGCUGGGAAACCAGCGCUAAUACCGCAUGCGCUCGCUGUUUCAUUACGGCGAGGAAAGCUUAAUGCGCUCAAAGAGGGGCCUGCGGCGGAUUAGCUAGUCGGUGGGGUAACGGCCUACCGAGGCAUCGAUCCGUAGCUGGUCUGAGAGGAUGAUCAGCCACACUGGGACUGAGACACGGCCCAGACUCCUACGGGAGGCAGCAGUAAGGAAUCUUCCACAAU
rnacentral:rRNA from 1 species